AUUGAACGCUGGCGGCAUGCCUUACACAUGCAAGUCGAACGGCAGCACGGGGGCAACCCUGGUGGCGAGUGGCGAACGGGUGAGUAACAUAUCGGAACAUACCCUAGAGUGGGGAUAACGUAGCGAAAGUUACGCUAAUACCGCAUACGAUCUAAGGAUGAAAGUGGGGGAUCUUCGGACCUCAUGCUCAUGGAGUGGCCGAUAUCUGAUUAGCUAGUUGGUGAGGUAAAGGCUCACCAAGGCGACGAUCAGUAGCUGGUUUGAGAGAACGACCAGCCACACUGGAACUGAGACACGGUCCAGACUCCUACGGAGGCAGCAGUGGGGGAAUUUUGGACAAUGGGGGGCAACCCUGAUCCAGCAAUGCGCGUGAGUGAAGAAGGCCUUCGGGUUG
rnacentral:rRNA from 1 species